GGUUUCUGCGUCGCAGCUAACGCAUUAAGCGCCCCGCCUGGGGAGUACGGUCGCAUGACUAAAACUCAAAGGAAUUGACGGGGGCCCGCACAAGCAGCGGAGCAUGCGGCUUAAUUCGAUGCAACGCGAAGAACCUUACCUAGACUUGACAUAUACGGAAAACAUGCAGAGAUGUAUGGUCCUAACGGGCCGUUUACAGGUGGUGCAUGGUUGUCGUCAGCUCGUGUCGUGAGAUGUUGGGUUAAGUCCCGCAACGAGCGCAACCCUCGUUCUAUGUUGCCAGCACGUAAUGGUGGGGACUCAUAGGAGACUGCCGGGGUCUACUCGGAGGAAGGUGGGGAUGACGUCAAAUCAUCAUGCCCCUUAUGUCUAGGGCUGCACGCAUGCUACAAUGGCUGGUACAAAGGGCUGCGAUACCGCAAGGUGGAGCGAAUCCCAAAAAGCCAGUCUCAGUUCGGAUUGGGGUCUGCAACUCGACCCCAUGAAGUUGGAGUUGCUAGUAAUCGCAGAUCAGCAACGCUGCGGUGAAUACGUUCCCGGGCCUUGUACACACCGCCCGUCACGUCACGAAAGUC
rnacentral:rRNA from 1 species